GAUGAACGCUGGCGGCGUGCCUAAUACAUGCAAGUCGAGCGAACGGACGAGAAGCUUGCUUCUCUGAUGUUAGCGGCGGACGGGUGAGUAACACGUGGAUAACCUACCUAUAAGAAUGGGAUAACUUCGGGAAACCGGAGCUAAUACCGGAUAAUAUUUUGAACCGCAUGGUUCAAAAGUGAAAGACGGUCUUGCUGUCACUAAUAGAUGGAUCCGCGCUGCAUUAGCUAGUUGGUAAGGUAACGGCUUACCAAGGCAACGAUGCAUAGCCGACCUGAGAGGGUGAUCGGCCACACUGGAACUGAGACACGGUCCAUACUCCUACGGGAGGCAGCAGUAGCGAAUCUUCCGCAAUGUUCGAAAGCCUGCCGGAGCAACGCCGCGUGAGUGAUGAAGGUCUUCGCAUCGUAAAACUCUUUUAUUAGGGAAUAACAUAUGUGUAAGUAACUGUGCACAUCUUGACGGUACCUAAUCAGAAAGCCACGGCUAACUACGUG
rnacentral:rRNA from 1 species